GAAGUCUUAGUAGCCGGUGCGAGUUUGAAGGAGUUUUUGACCUUAACAAGUUUUUCAGAAGCGACUAGUUUUUUGAGAUGGAGAAGAACAAGCUUACGGUAGGUUGGUGAUAACUCCUUGUGUUUCUCUUCGAUGAAUUUUGUUAUCGCGUAUUGGCUUGAUCCGGUUCGUUCUUUCAGGCUCACGAUUGCAUCAGUUAUCAUCUUCAGAUUCAAAAACAAAAUCAAAAACAGAAUUCAGAUUCAAAAGUUAGAAAAAAUGAGAAAAAUAAAGAAAAUGAAAUUGAAAUUGAGAUUUGU
rnacentral:lncRNA from 1 species